rnacentral:lncRNA from 1 species
UAAUAAUAAUAAUAAUAAUAAUAAUAAUAAUGUUAUAUUUUUCUUUUUGGGCUCCUUAAUUUCUAUUUCUUCUCUUUUUUUGUAUAUUUAAAUCUAUUCUGUGUCACCUUUGUCCAGCAGGAUUCAAUUCCAGCAGCUUGAAAACUGGCUUAAAAAUUAAAGACAUUGUUUUGAGGGAUAAAAUAAUUCCUUUAAAGCCCCAUUUGCACCCUUUCCAGGCAGAUUUUUCCCUCUUUCCAGACAGAUUUUUCUCCUCCUUUCCAGGCAGACUUUUUCCCCUUUUUAGGAAAUUUUUUCCCAUUUCCAGGCAAAAUUUUUCCCUUUUUUCAGGCAGAUGUUUCCCCUUUUCAAAUACAUUUUUUUCCUCUUUCCAGGCAGAUUUUUCUCUCUUUCCAGACAGAUUUUUUUCCCCCUUUCCAGGCAGAUUUUUCC